CAGGAUGAACGCUGGCGGUAUGCUUAACACAUGCAAGUUGAACGAAGAUAAAUAAAUUCUUUUAGAAGUUGUUUAGACUUAGUAGCGGACGGGUGAGUAACGCGUAAGACUCUGCCCUUAGGAAAAGAAUAACAGCUGGAAACGGCUGCUAAUACUUUAUAUGCUGAGAAGUUAAAUGGGUUACCGCCUAAGGAUGAGCUUGCGUCUGAUUAGCUUGUUGGUAAGGUAAAAGCUUACCAAGGCAACUAUCAGUAGCUGGUUUGAGAGGAUGAUCAGCCACACUGGGACUGAGACACGGCCCAGACUCCUACGGGAGGCAGCAGUGAGGAAUUUUUCGCAAUGGGCGCAAGCCUGACGAAGCAAUACCGCGUGAAGGAUGAAGGCCUGCGGGUCGUAAACUUCUUUUCUUAGAGAAGAUAAUGACGGUAUCUAAGGAAUAAGCAUCGGCUAACUCUGUGCCAGCAGCCGCGGUAAUACAGGGGAUGCAAGCGUUAUCCGGAAUGAUUGGGCGUAAAGCGUCUGUAGGUGGUUUAGAAAGUCGAUUGUUAAAACCUAAGGCUCAACCUUAGAUCGGCAAUGGAAACUUCUAAACUAGAAUACGGUAGAGGUAGAGGGAAUUACCGAUGUAACGGUGAAAUGUGCAGAUAUCGGUAAGAACACCAACGGCGAAAGCACUCUACUGGGCCGAGAUUGACACUCAGAGACGAAAGCUAGGGGAGCGAAUAGGAUUAGAUACCCUAGUAGUCCUAGCUGUAAACGAUGGAAACUAAGUAUUGACCUUUUUUAAAGUGCAGUACUGUAGCUAACGCGUUAAGUUUCCCGCCUGGGGAGUAUGCUCGCAAGAGUGA
rnacentral:rRNA from 1 species